rfam:Dipodomys ordii contig_34720, whole genome shotgun sequence.
GGGAUGGUGGCUCAGUGGUAGAGUGCUUGCCUUGCAUGCAUGAGGCUACAGGUUCGGUUCCUCAGUACCA